AUGAUGUGUCGUAAGCGGCGCAUGUUCUUGGGCGGUGCAUGCGCCCCUGGAGAAAAAUUAAACGCGUACAACGUGCGGAAAGAUUGGUAGGGUGCGGAUGAGUAUCGGGCAGAAAGGCGGAAAAAGGUAUCUCACGUAAUCUAAGCGAUGCCGUUUGAAACUCUAGUUUUGGGCCACCACUCAUCCUCUGACGAGACAAGUCGUCGAUCAAACGCGCGUCUGCCCCUGACCAAGGUUCGCUGAAGAUUUAAAUCAAGAAAUCAAACAAAAUGAAUGCUGCAUACCGUCGGUAGACAGGUUUAGGCGUCAACCCAGCAGGUCUAUCUGGCACCCCGCCCAGCAAUCAAGAAGAAUUCAUACGCCUGACGUGUCGCUCAUGAUGGAGGUCCAAGCUACGUAUCAUCCAUCUUUCGGGGUCUUCGCAGCAGUAUGUGACGCGGCACAUGGCGAAAACUUCAAUUCCGUUCCCUCAAACUUUUUUACACGGAGUCUAUUUAUGGAGAAAAAUAUGCAA